UACGGAGGGUGCAAGCGUUAUCCGGAUUCACUGGGUUAAAGGGUGUGUAGGCGGGUAUUUAAGUCAGUGGUGAAAUCUCCAGGCUCAACCUGGAAACUGCCAUUGAUAUUAUUUACCUUGAAUUCUGUUGAGGUGGGCGGAAUACAUCAUGUAGCGGUGAAAUGCUUAGAUAUGAUGUAGAACACCAAUUGCGAAGGCAGCUCACUAAACAGACAUUGACGCUGAGGCACGAAAGCGUGGGGAUCAAACAGGA
rnacentral:rRNA from 1 species